rnacentral:piRNA from 1 species
UGAUCGAGACUGUAUUUUUUGUGCUGGU